GCAUUAUGGAGACGAGUGAAAACUAAAACAAUCUAAAAUGCAAGCUUUGCCAAAGUAAUUAAACCUCAUUUCGCUGCUGUGAUGACUCCCUGGACUCUGCCUUUUGCUCCCUGUAAACACCUUUUUCCUGUGUGAUCUCACAAUUAUCUGCUGUAGCAGUCCAUUAGUGCAUCUGCACCCACACAGUCCCAGGCUGUUGAAUUCACUCUCACCUGAGCCUGCUGCACAUUCUAACCAGGCCUCCUUCACUGAGGAAAAGCACUGACUGGCACCUGGGGGUAUCUGGAGGAAUACAUUUAUUCCCAGGCAAGAAAAACAGAUGACCAGUAUCAUAAAGAUCAGCCUGAUAGCAUCACCUCAAUUUUCCUCUAGGGAGCUAUAGAAGAAAGAUCUCUUACUGACUUCUUGGAGAACACGGAACAUGAAGUACUCUGCUGAGGAACCAUGUGGUAAAAGCUGUUGAGAAAAGAGGGGUGAAAUUUUCUGAGAAGAAAGAUGGCACUAAAGUAGGCAUGCUGUCAGCAGGAUUAAACUAGGGCUGGUGAAAUGUGCCUAAAAUCUGUUCAGAAGAAGAAGUUUUCUAUCUAUCAGGCAGGCUUAGCAUAGCUAAUGCCAGUGUAAGUGGAUUCUGUCACAUCAGCGUGCUUCUUCCUCCAGCUCAGCCAGUGAGGCACAUCUGAUAAUGCACAAGGACACCCUAACCACUUGUCUGUCUUCAGUGGCUUUGCUGUCCAGCCAACCUCC